UACGAAGGGUGCAAGCGUUACUCGGAAUUACUGGGCGUAAAGCGUGCGCAGGCGGUUUUGUAAGUCUGACGUGAAAUCCCCGGGCUCAACCUGGGAAUUGCGUUGGAGACUGCAAGGCUGGAGUCUGGCAGAGGGGGGUAGAAUUCCACGUGUAGCAGUGAAAUGCGUAGAGAUGUGGAGGAAUACCGAUGGCGAAGGCAGCCCCCUGGGUCAAGACUGACGCUCAUGCACGAAAGCGUGGGGAGCAAACAGG
rnacentral:rRNA from 1 species